rnacentral:rRNA from 1 species
UGAGGAAUAUUGCGCAAUGGGCGAAAGCCUGACGCAGCAACGCCGCGUGGAGGACGAAGGCCUUCGGGUCGUAAACUCCUUUUCCGGGGAACGAGGAAGGACGGUACCCCGGGAAUAAGUCUCGGCUAACUACGUGCCAGCAGCCGCGGUAAAACGUAGGAGGCGAGCGUUAUCCGGAUUUACUGGGCGUAAAGCGCACGCAGGUGGCUUCGUAAGUCGGACAUGAAAGCUCCUGGCUUAACUGGGAGAGGUGGUUCGAUACUGCGGGGCUUGAGGUUGGGAGAGGGACGUGGAAUUCCCGGUGUAGUGGUGGAAUGCGUAGAUAUCGGGAGGAACACCAGUGGCGCAAGCGGCGUCCUGGCCCACACCUGACGCUGAGGUGCGAAAGCGUGGGGAGCAAACAGG